GAUGAACGCUAGCGGCAGGCCUAACACACGCAAGUCGAGGGGCAGCACGGGAGUAGCAAUACUUUGGGUGGCGACCGGCGGACGGGUGCGUAACGCGUAUGCAACCUACCUUAAACAGGGGGAUAAUUCGGAGAAAUCUGGUCUAAUACCCCAUAACAUCAGCUGAGGCAUCUUAGUUGGUUAAAAACUCCGGUGGUUUAAGAUGGGCAUGCGUUGUAUUAGUUAGUUGGUGGGGUAAUGGCUCACCAAGGCUACGAUACAUAGGGGGACUGAGAGGUUAACCCCCCACACUGGAACUGAGACACGGUCCAGACUCCUACGGGAGGCAGCAGUGAGGAAUAUUGGUCAAUGGGGGCAACCCUGAACCAGCCAUGCCGCGUGCAGGAAGACGGCUCUAUGAGUUGUAAACUGCUUUUUUACGGGAAUAAAUGCAGGUACGUGUACCUGUUUGAAUGUACUGUAUGAAUAAGGAUCGGCUAACUCCGUGCCAGCAGCCGCCGUAAAAC
rnacentral:rRNA from 1 species